UACGAAGGGGGCUAGCGUUGCUCGGAAUCACUGGGCGUAAAGCGCACGUAGGCGGAUUGUUAAGUCAGGGGUGAAAUCCUGGAGCUCAACUCCAGAACUGCCUUUGAUACUGGCGAUCUUGAGCUCGGGAGAGGUGAGUGGAACUGCGAGUGUAGAGGUGAAAUUCGUAGAUAUUCGCAAGAACACCAGUGGCGAAGGCGGCUCACUGGCCCGGUACUGGACGCUGAGGUGCGAAAGCGUGGGGAG
rnacentral:rRNA from 1 species